GACGAACGCUGGCGGCGUGCUUAACACAUGCAAGUCGAACGGAAAGGCCCUGCUUUUGUGGGGUGCUCGAGUGGCGAACGGGUGGGUAACACGUGAGUAACCUGCCCUUGACUUUGGGAUAACUUCAGGAAACUGGGGCUAAUACCGGAUAGGAGCUCCUGCUGCAUGGUGGGGGUUGGAAAGUUUCGGCGGUUGGGGAUGGACUCGCGGCUUAUCAGCUUGUUGGUGGGGUAGUGGCUUACCAAGGCUUUGACGGGUAGCCGGCCUGAGAGGGUGACCGGCCACAUUGGGACUGAGAUACGGCCCAGACUCCUACGGGAGGCAGCAGUGGGGAAUAUUGCACAAUGGGCGGAAGCCUGAUGCAGCAACGCCGCGUGCGGGAUGACGGCCUUCGGGUUGUAAACCGCUUUCGCCUGUGACGAAGCGUGAGUGACGGUAAUGGGUAAAGAAGCACCAGCUAACUACGUG
rnacentral:rRNA from 1 species